rnacentral:tRNA from 1 species
GGUGCCUUGGGUCAGUGGAAGAACCUCUGCUUUGCAUGCAGAAGGUCUCAGGUUCAGCCCCCGACAUCUCCA